GUUUUUUACGCGUCUAUUUCUUAAAACGCGUGUUAGAAAUCUAUAAAAUACGGUACCUGGGCAUUGUGUAAGUCAGAAAGUCAUGCUCAUACGCUACCGGCGGCGUUCUCCGGCGCCAGACUACGCUGCGUAUGUCGCCGACGAAGCAAAACUGUAAACCCUAAGUUAAUUUUCUCCAUGUAUCUGCGUCUUUCCUCCAUUAACUGUUUUGUGACAAUGUCAGAUUUUCUUUGAAUUCUUGCCUGCAUUCCUUUUAAGAAAAAUCAAGAACUUACCUAUCUUUUUGAAGUUACACCUGUAUUGCUAAGGCAUAUUUACAGGAAAUAAUGUAAUUGUUAUUUUCAAGAAUAUAUUGACAUUGCAAAUAUAAAGAAAUUCAAGAAAACUUUCUUUCUCCAAAAAAUUCUGUUGUUUUUCGUACUGUGUUGAAGAUGUUCUAGAAUUUGUUUUUGAGGCUUUUUAUCUUGUAUGAUUUCAGAAGGGUUGUUGAGGAGUUGGUUUGGUAGUUGUUGUUGAAGUCUCCACUCACACAACUUUUAAAGAUAGUGUACUGAUGUUCAUGAUGCUGACAUCAUCUUUUCUAUUGUAUUGAUGCCGAUGUACAUAAUUUCUUUGCCCAACAACUAUGAUGUACAUAACUUGGAAUGGUCGUUGUAGUCAUAGGAUUGCAUGCAUUACUCAACUAACAGGCGGUUCUGGCGGUUUGUGUUCAUUUGUUUGCAUGUAUAAUCCGGAAGCCCAAUGAGGGUUUUGCAUUCUCUGAAAGAAUCUCCCUUGUGCGUCCCACUGUCUCCUUCAAAAUUGUUGACAUUGAAAGGCCUGUCUCUGUUAUACUAGCUAACUUAAGGAUAUGUCCCAUCUGGUUUCUUUGAUUUUGUAAAUUUGUGUGCAGUGAGGAUGAACGAAUUUGCACACAUGCUUCUCCUUCUCUCUGUUGCCGCUAUCGUCCACUGGGAUUUUCAUUCCUCUGAGUUCCCUUAACAAAUUGAAUUAAAUGGAAUUCAACAGAUGGUUCAUUCAAGCUCACGGCAGGUCUUGAUGUUUACAUAAUGAAUGUAUACGGGCCCAAAUUAAUGGAUAAGAGAUGUGAUAAGUUAUCUUUUUUACAUAUUGUUUCUUUAACAACCACUGUUUAAUCUUAAGAUUUGGUUAACAUUUACUAUAAUCUGGAGACCAUGUUCUCAGGGUACCAUGUGUCUUUUCAGUAAUGUGUAAAAUGAUGUUAUUCUUUUCUUUACAUUUGCCAUCUAGUUAUACAAUUAGUUGUGUUGAAGUAGGUGAAAGUACAAGGCACAAUAAGUAUAUGAAUAUAUGUGAUGCAGGUCAGUAGUAUUGUUUUUUUUAGUGUUGUAAUCUAAUAUUGUGUAGGUGAUCAAGAAGAACGUAUUUUCAAGUCAAAGAUUCUAAAUCUGCAUAACUGUAAGUACUUCCUUUCCUCCAACCUCACUGCAUUGUCUGUUUCUUCAUCUAAAGCCGUUCUGGAGGACUUCUCCUAUUGAUAUUACCAAGUGGCUCUAUAUCUAUUCUCAGAUUUGUCAACCAGAGCUUUGUAUGUGAGAGGCACUGUUAUUAGAUAUGAUGUUCAACACUUUCUUUUCUUUAAAGUUGUUGAUCACGUCUGUAUGUAGGCAUGUUUUGAUUAUUUGUUAUUGCUGAAGUUGAGCUGGAACAUACAUAUUCAUGCUUAGGUACUUUUAGCCCAACUUAUGGAGACAGCAUAUGUGCCUGUUUCUUUCAUCUUUUAUUGUGCUUUCUUUUUGACCGGACAUUUCAAUUAACUAUUGUUUCGUCUACUUCCUUUACACCACUGACAUCAAAAUACUGCCAUUCAGAUGUUAAGCAUGCUUUCCCAGCAAGCUUUGGCUUGAAAGGAGAGGCUCUGAGCUGAGAUGACCUUUCUUUGUUGAAAAUUGUUACUAAAACUCAUGGGAUCGAAAGGUUUGAAGGUAAAGUUCUUUUAGUAUCCAUUAGGAUAGGUAUAAAAAUACUAAUCUGGUCUUUGUCUAUGCCAUUUUGUGUUUUGAGUUGUUGAUUGUAGACAAGAAAAUCUUAAGAAUUAUUGAUACAAUGAGCUAUGCUCUCCUCUUGGGUGGAUGAGGACUUGGAUAAAUUGAUUGAUACUGGAAAUCGAGGUAAAAUAGAUGAGCUUAUAAGGAAUAAGAAGAGUAGAAGAAGUCAUACAACUCUUCCAUUUUUCCAGCACAAGAAGUUCUUUGCAACAAUUGAGUCUGCAAGAAGGAAGCAGGAAAUAAUAAUAUUAAGACUGUUAAUGAUGUGCCACUCUUGCCAGAAACUAAAGCUGCAUGGGGACUGCAUCAUUCUGUAGAAACUAUCUGGUCGGAGCUUCCAUGGCAGUCCCAUCAUGCCAAGUGCGAAAAUAAAACUUGUUAACAUCUGAAAUAACAAAUUACAAGGAAAAGGGGAGUGCACAAGUCCACACGAUGGGGAGUCAAAAUAAGGUAAACUGUUCCUGCCAUUUGUUCAUGCCUGACUUGAAUAAGAGCUGAAAUUUUUCAGUGCAUGUUUCAGUUAAUUGGCUUCAUUUGUUUCACCCACUUUUCAAGAUUAUCUUAGACUGCGUUAUUACUGAUCAUGAAAACAUUAGAUAUUACAUUGUCUUUUUCUAAGUCUCCUAGGCCAUGUAGUCUCUUUCAAUUUCUGUCUUUGCUAUGUAUGCAUGGAUGAGAACGACAGUAAGUUUUAGUUUCUUUGACAUUGAUUUAAUGCAUUUUGAUGUGCACAAAGUCGUGCUCAAUUUAUUAUUUUACGUCCUCAACUGAAGUUGUGUACUUUCUCUGAAGGAUCAUCUGAAGUUGUACCUUCUGUUGAAAGAUCAUCUGAACUUGUCCCUUCUUUUGAAGGAUAAUCUGAAGUCGUAUGUAUCUUCUUUUGGAUGGUCAUCUGAAAUGGUACUUCUCUUUGAAGGAUCAUACACAGUUGUAAGGAUCAUCUGAAGUUGUACUUCCUUUUGAAGGAUCAUCUGAAGUUGGAUCACGAGUUUGAACAAUUUUCUGACAUUGAACAGCGAAGUAGAUCUCAUAUAUGUUCACUUUUUUUUGUUGAACCUAAACUUCCCAGGAUAAGUUUAUAUGAUUUUACUUUGGGGUCUUCAAAGAAUUAUGUGGAACAUAGGUGUGAUAGUUGUUGGCAUUUAUGACUUAGACUCCUGUUUUAUGCUUACCCUAUCAUUUCUGCUCCCCUUUAAAUGAAUUUUGCAGUUUUUUUUUUUUUUUACGAAUCUACAUCAAUUUUUGUAAAUCUAGAUAUGUGCUGCAUCAAUCAUCUUGGGAGCCUUGCUAUCUUUCCGAGAUAGUGACAUUCAGCUGUAUAUUGAUUUUUUAGUAGGGUCAGGGUAGAGGGGUGGCUCAUUUUCUCAGGAGUUUGAAACUUGCAGGUCAAUCUCGGUCAUCUAAUUCAAUAAAAAAAUUUUGUUUUUCAGAAUUAGUAGAAACCUACCAAAAUAUUUAGGUUGAUCUUCAUUCCUCAGCGAUGGAGAUUGGAAAUGCAGCUUUGACACUUUGAUCUUUGCAUUAUUCUAGAGAGUAGUGUAUGCUGUCUGGCCAUUUUAACUAGCUUCGUAUGCUUGCUUUACACCAGCUACAUCAAAAUACAACCAUUAAGAUUAAUUGCAUGCUUUCCCAGCAAGUUUUGGCUUUAAAUGAGAGGCUCUAAGCUCUAUUUGUGACGUUUCUUUGUUGACAAUUGUUACUAAAACUCAUGGGAAUCCAAAUGGAUAUUGUAAGAUUUCAGGUAAAGUUCUUUUGAGUUUUAGUUUGUAGGAUCCAUUAGGAUAGGUGUAAAACUACUUACUUGGCCGUCUUUGUUCUUGCCAAUAUUUACAGGUCGACAAGCGUUUAUUCCUUGGAAUUGAUGAUUGUAGACAAGAUGUUGGUAGAAUAGGUAAUUAUGUAUAAGCCUACAUGAUACAAGUGUUGACUAUUGUUUGCUAAUAAGGUAAUUUCUUGGAUUUUUCUCUUUGUAAUCAUUGUUCGUGAUGUAUUUUACAACCAACCAGUUUAAAGGAAGCAAAUGCACUCCAAUUACUUCUAACUUUCUCACAAUUCAAACAAAUAAAUAUUGAUCUACUUCUACUCUGUCCUGAUUGAUCUUUUGGUUUCCAUAUAUAAUUUGGAAGACGAAUGAAGGUCUUGCAUUCUCUGAAAUAGUCCUUGCGAAUUUCCCUUGUGCUUCCCAGUGUCUCCUUCAAAAUUGUUAAUAUUGAAAGGUCAGUCUCUGUUAUACCAGCUAAUUUAAGGAUAUUUCCUUCUGGUUCCUUCGAUUUUGUAAGUUUGAAUGCAGUGAGGAUGAUAUACUUUGCACAUGUGCUUCUCCUUCUCUGAUGCUGCUAUUGUCCAGUGGGGUUUGGCAUUCCUCUGAGUUCCCUUAACAAAUUGAAUUGAAGUGAUUCUUCAUUCAAGCUCUCAGGAUACCUUCUCAGGUCCUAACUACAGGCCCAAAUUAAUGGAUAAGGGAUGUGAUAAGUUAUCUUUUCUACACUUUGUUUCUGUAACGACCUGUUAAGCUUUGCAGGUCCUUCAGUAUUUCCGCGUCCACUUAUUUCAGUAUGUUGUUCUGGCAAAAGAAAUCGGAAGACUUAUAUUUGGUUGACAUUUACUAUAUCGUAUCUUUGUUUUGCACAGUGUUAUUGUUUUCCUUGACCUUCGUAUAAAGGAAAUUCGACUUUAAUGAUAGCCAAGCUUACUCUUUAGUACCCCUACUUAAUCUUAUGUACUCUUGUGAUGUUUGACGGAGUCAUCUGUUAAUAGGGGGAGGCUGCUGUUUUAUUUCCAGACGGAUUUGGUGAUAGACGUGUGGAGGGUAAAUACUUGCUGCCAAAUAUGCCCGUGAAAACAGGAUUCCUUACCCGGGCAUAUGUCUAGGCAUGCAAAUUGCUGUGAUCGAGUAUGCUACAUCCAUUCUUGGGUUUCAAUAUGCGAACAGUACAGAGUUUGAUACCAACACUCACAAUCCUUGUGUAAUUUUUAUGCGGAAAUUAGUUCUGAUACUUCCCCUUUAUCAUGAAUUUCCCUCAUGAUAUUCAUGUGUUUUAGGUCUCAUUUUAGUAGCAGCUAUAUCAUUCUGUUGACCAUGUUCACAGGGUUCAAAAGCGCAUAUGGGUGGUAGCAUGCGUCUUGGAUCAAGAAGAACAUAUAUUUUUGAUGAAGUAUGGUGAUUUCAUUAGAAGGCAUCAAGAAGAUGCAAGGCAAAAAUAUAAUUUUCUAAAUAACUAAAGAGACAAAGUCCAAAAAAAGAUCAACAUGAUCAUAGGGCCUGGGUGAACCAACUAUAUAAGUAGACUUAAUAGUUGGAUUAAGAAUGGGGUUAGGAAUUGAAAUCCCAUCAAAACAUGUACGAUUCCUUUCAUUCCAGAUGCACCAAAAGAUAGUAGCAGGCACCAUGCGUCAUGUUUUUUUGAUGGGUUUCCCAACUCUCCACGAACACCAGCUCUCAUAGGCUUCUUUAGUACUAUUUGGCAUGACCCAGGUAGUUCCAGAAACUGAUAAGAAUAUACUUCAUAUGCCUGCUGCUACUUUACAGUGCAAAAAUAGAUGCCUUCCAAAAACUGAUAAGAACGUAUUUUCAAGUCAGAGAUUCUAAAUCUGCAUAACUGUAAGUACUUCCUUCAACCUUACUGCAUUGUCUGUAUCUUCAUCUGAAGCCGUUCUGGAGGACUUCUCCUAAUGAUAUUACCAAGUGGCUAAACUAUAUCUUUUCUCGGAUUUGGCACCCGGAGCUUUGUAUGUGAGAGGCACCAUCAUAAGCAUGAUGUUCAACACUUUUUCAUCUUUAAACUUGUUGACCACUUCUGUAUGUAGGCAUGUUUUGAUUAUUUAUUGUUAAGCUGGAACAUACAUAUUCAUGCUUAGGUACUUUUAGCCCAUCUUAUGAAGACAACAUAUGUGACUGUUUCUUUCAUCUUCUAUUGUGCUUUCUUUUCGACUGGCCAUGUCAAUUAACUAUUGUUUUGUCUACUUUCUUUUCACCAGCGACAUCAAAAUAUUGCCAUUCAGAUGUUAUGCAUGCUUUCCUAGCAAGCUUUGGCUUGAAAGGAGUGGUUCAGAGCUGUAUUUCCAGCCUUUCUUCAUUGAAAAUUGUUACUAAAACUCAUAGGAUGCCAAAUGGAUAUCGAAAGGUUUGAAGGGUGGAUGGGAACUUGCAUAAAUGGAUUGAUACUGGAAAUCGAGGUAAACCAGAUGAGCUUAUAAGGAAGAAGAAGAUUAGAAGGAGUCAUACACUCUUCCAUUUUACCAUGGCAAGAAGUUCUUUGCCAUAAGUGAGUCUGCAAGAAGGAAGCAGGAAAUAAGAAUAUUAAGACUGUUAAUGAUGUGCCACUCAUGCCAGAUACUAGAGCUGUAAGGAGACUGCAUCAUUCUGCAGAAACUAUCUGGUCGGAGCUUCCAUGGCAAUCAUCCCAUCAAUGUGAUCAAUCUCCCACCCCAAGUUGUGGUGACGGUGUAUUCUCUGAUUUACCGUGAUGUUAUAAUUUCUUGGGAGGGUUAGGCCAAGUGUGAAAAUAAAACUUGUUUAACAUCUGAAAUAGCAAAUUACAAGGUCAAGGGGAGUGCACAAGUACACGCGAUGGGGUGUCAAAAUAAGAUACACCUGUGAAUUGUGAGAUAAAGAAAAAGAGGCGCAGGGCCCAGAGUUGGAAAGCUACACUGGAGAGUGCACUGUCAGGAGAGAGAUUGGAUUUUUGCAGAAUCUAGGAAAAACAGAUGGAGAGAAAUUCUUUGCCAAGAGUUUGUCUUCAAGAAAGGCAGCGAGAAAUAAUAAUAAGAAGACUGUUCAUGAUGUGAUACUCAUGCCAGACCUGUAAGGAGACUGCAUCAUCUGCAGAAGCUAUCUGCUCGGAGCUUCCACAGCAGUCAUACCAUCAGUGUGAUCAAUCUUCCACUUCAAGUUGUGGUGAAGGGGUAUCACGAUGUAAGGCCAAGUGUGAAAUGGAACUUGUUAAUAUCUGGAUUAGCAAAUUCUCAAGCUUAAGGGGAGUGUACAAGUACACGCGAUGGGGAGUUAAAAGAAGUAACAAAUUACAAGGUAAAGGGGAGUGCACAAGUCCACGCGAUGGGGAAUAAAAAUAGGGUAAACCGUUCCUGCCAUUUGUUCAGGGUUCAAAAGCGCAUAUGGGUGGUAGCAUGCGUGUUUUCAAGUCAAAGAUUCUACAUUUGGUAGUUGUUUCUAAAACUCACGGGAGGCUGAAUGGAUAUCGUAAGGUUUUGAAGGACGGCAUUUGAAGUGUUAACAGGUUGACAAGUGUUUGUACCUUGGAAUUGAUGAUUGUAGACAAAAUCUUGGUAUAACAGUGUGUUAGAAUCCACAUUGUUUGGAGAACGAAAAUCCACAAACUCUGCGCACCCCCUUACAUCUAAUGCUUUACCUACAGAGGAUGAUUUACUGGAUAACAAAUUCAGUGCUUCAGCUAGAUCCAGUUAUAAAUCAGACUGCCUGUUAGGUUCUGGAUUAGAGGAGUCUUAAACAAUUGUAGCUGGCAGAUCAACAGAGGAUGCCUCAUUUUGGGGAGUCUCUUGAACUUCAUAAGAUUCAAAUGUGAUGCAUGUGAGAAGGAAAGCAUUUAUGUGGAGCUGUUCUUUGCACAGAAGCCUGAUAUGAUCAUCUUAUCGAUUUCUUUAAACAGAUUGCUGAAAAAUAUGGUUCUGGCCUGCCAUCUUUUAGUUGAGACUGUCUCCUCUGCCACCAUAUCCUGAGUGUGCUAUUGUGAAGUCUAACUCUGAGCAUGAAGUUAAUAUGUUUUGGUUUGGUUAAAGCAGGACUUGAUUCUGAUUCACAAGCUGCCAACAUCUGUCACACUUCUUGCGGUUUCUUGCUCCAUUCUGAGGUAUCAAUAACAGUUUAUAUCAGUUAUGUGCUGCAUCUUGUUGAAAGCAAGAAAGAUUUUUGAGGGUUUAAGCCUUUCAAGUGUCAUUUGUGGCGCAUUGUCUCUUAAUAAAUGGAGAGUGUCAUAGGGUGCUUUAUCUUUUGUUCCAUCACAUUGUGAUCGUCUGGGAGUGUAUAUUCUUAUGUAGAAACUGAGGCCCAUGACAAAAUGAACCAUGCUGCAUAUGAGUGAAUUCAUUCGUUUUGAAGAACUGCUUGAGUAGCUUGCUGAUGCAGAUGGAUCAUCAACAGUACCCUAUCAGUGAAUCGGGUCUUGAAAAAACAAGGUGCAAUUAUGUACUGAUGCAUUGUUGUCUUCCGAAUGUUCCUCAUUGUUGAGGAGUUGAAGCAGAUUCCAUUGUGUGUUCAAGUGAGUCGAAAAUUGCAUUUAAGGAAAUAUCUGCAUUGGAACUGCAUUUGAUGUGAGGAUGACCUGCCUUUGCACACGUGCUUUUUCUUCUCCUUGCCGCUGUUGUCCAAUGGUUGGAAUUCAUUCGAGCUCCCUUAAUAAAUUGAAUGCAAGCUUUCAGGAUAAAGAGACGUGAUAAGUUAUCUUUUCUACAGUUUGUUUCUUUAAAAACCACUGUUUAAUUUGCAGGUCCUUCAGUAUUUUUCAGUAUAUUGUCCUGACAAAGAAAAACAGGAAACUAAUCUUUGGUUAACAUUUACUAAAUUGGAUGCUUUCCUUUUAUGGUGUGUUUGUUUUCCUUGACCUUCGUAAUGCAGGUUUCAAUUCAAGAUUUGUUUCUUAAGAACCAAUACAAAAAUUACUUAAUAACAUAGCUACGAGUUUUGACAGUGUUUCUGACAUUGAGCAGCGAAGUAGAUCUCAGAUAUAUUCACUGUUCUUGUUGAAUCUAAACUGCCCAAGAUAAGUUUUAUAUGAUUUGAUUUUUAGGCCUUCAAAGAACUCUGUGGAACAUAGCUGUGAUUUUUGUUGGCAUUGAUGACUUAGUCUCCUGUUUUUUGCUUACCCAAUUAUUUCUGCUUCCAUUAAGAUGAAAUUUGCAGUUUUUUUUUUUUACGAAUCUACAUCAAUUUUUGUGAAUCUAGACAUUUGCUGCAUCAAUCAUCUUGGGAGCCUUGCUAUCUUUCCGAGAUAGUGACAUUCAGCUGUACUGUGAUUUUUAAGUAGGGUCAGGGUAGAGGGGUCGCUCAUAUUCUCAGGAGUUUGAAACUUGCAGGUCAAUCUCAGUCGUUUAAUUCAAAUGAAAAUUUUCUGUUAUUCAGAAAAAGUAGAAUCCUACCAAAAAAUUUAGGUUGAUCUUCAUUCUUCAGCUAUGGAGGUUGGAAAUGCAGCUUUGACACUGUUGAUCUUUGUAUUAUUCUAGAGAGUAGAGACUCAAGAGCUUUCGAGGAUACUUUUUUAUGUACUCUUUGUUUCAAAAGGUUCUGAUAUUCUGUUUAUAUUGGGCGUUAGUCUAUCUGUUAGAGUUUCUUCAACAGGCAUGUUUUGAUUAUUUGUUCUUGCUGAAGUUGGCUGGAACAUACAUAUUCAUGCUUAGUGACAUCAAAAAUACUGCCAUUCAGAUGUUAUGCAUGCUUUUCCAGCAAGCUUUGGCUUGAAAGGAGAGGCUCUGAGCUGAGCUGACCUUUCUUUAUUGAAAAUUUGUUACUAAAGCUCAUGGGAUCGAAAGGUUUGAAGGAUGACAUGUGUUUGUGCCUUGGAAUUGUUGAUUGUAGACAAGAAAAUCUUAAGAAUUAUUGAUACAAUGAGCUAUGCUCUCGUCUAGGGUGGAUAGGGAUUUGGAUAAAUGGAUUGAUACUGGAAAUCGAGGUAAAAUAGAUGAGCUUAUAAAGAAUAAGAAGAGUAGAAGGAGUCAUACAACUCUUCCAUUUUUCCAGCACAAGAAGUUCUUAAUAUUUCAUAGAGCCUUUUUAAAAUUUUAUAGUAUGUUAUUUCAUAGAGUCUUUUAAAAUUCUAUAGUAUGUUAGUGAAAAAAAGAUUGUGGACUUAUCAUUUUGUUACAAUUGAAAUAAAUAUGUAUUAGAAUAAAAAUUUACAAAAGUUUAGUGUAUAAAUUAUGUAUUAACUAGUUUUUGGAAACCAAAAAAGAUAGUUUUUUGACGCAUUUAUUUAUUAAAAAAACGUGUGUUAAAAUUCUAUAAAAUACGCUACCUGGGCAUUGUGUAAGUCAGGAAGUCAUGCUCAUACGCUACCGGCGGCAUACUCCGGCUCCAGAGUAAGCUGCGUAUGCCGCUGACGAAGCAAAACUGUAAACCCUAAGUUAAUUUUCUCCAUGUAUCUGCGUCUUUCCUCCAUUACUGUUUUGCGACAAUGUCAGAUUUUCUUUGAAUUCUUGCCUGCAUUCCUUUUAAGAAAAAAAUCAUGAACUUAUCGGUUUGAAGUUACACCCAUAUUUUUAACACAUAUUUACAGGAAAUAAUGAAAUUGUUGUUUUCAAGAAUGUGUUGACAUUGCAAAAAUCAAGAAAUUCAAGAAAUCUUUCUUUCUCCAAAAAAUUCUGUUGUUUUUUCGUACUGUGUGUUGAAGAUGUUCUAGAAUUUGUUCUAGAUCUUCUAUGUAUGUAUGGAUGGCAUUUUGAUGUGCAGAAAGUUGUGCUCAAUUUAUUUAUUAUUUUACUUCAUCAUAUGAAGUUGUGUACAUCUUUUGAAGGAUCAUCUGACGUUGUACCUUCUUUUGAAAGAUCAUUUUGGAUGAUCAUCUGAAGUUGUACUUUCCUUUGAAGAAUCAUUUGAAGUUGUACUUUCUUUUGAAGGAUGAGAUGGAUUACGAGUUUGAACAGUGUUUCUGACAUUGAGCAGCGAAGUAAAUAUCAGAUAUAUCCACUGUUUUCUUGAACCUAAACUGCCCUAAAUAAACUUUAUAUGAUUUGACUUUGGACCUUUAAAGAUCUCUGUCGAAUUUAGGUGUGAUUUUUGUUGGCAUUUAUGACUUAGACUCCUACUUUAUGCUUACCCAAUCAUUUCUGCUUUUCUUUAAUUGAAUUUUAAAGUCUUUAUGCUUACCCAAUCAUUAAAAGCACUGGUCAUCACUUGCUCGGAAUUUUUACUUUGUGUACCAUAUGUAGGUUAAGAGAGAAGUGAAAAGAAACAAAAAGGUUAGGUGGGGAAGGUGUGGUUCUUCUCUUUAUUGAGUAUACUGUCGCAAUUCUCUAGACUUAAAGUAACUUUGCCGGUGAGAGUAUUGCAGUAUCAACAUUUAUCACUUUCUUUUCUCUCAAGCUACUUUUGGAAAACCUAGAUAAGAAUAUAGUUGUUGAAGUAUCCUCCUCAUCUGUUGCUAUUCCAUUCCCUGUUCCUCUUUUCAGAUAUACCUGUGAAUUGUGAGUUAAAAUAAAGAGGUGCAGGGCCUAGAGUUGGAAAGCUACACUGGAGAGUGCACUGUCAGGAGAGAGAUUGGUUUGCAGAAUAUUCUGUGGGGAAGUGCUUCUGAAAAGCGUGAUCCCUGAGUCUAGAUUCCUCAGUCAGAUAGAAAGUUCAAGUCGGUGAAUUGAUGGAUUUCUUUAUUGCUCAUUUAUUCAUCUUCAAGGCUAUUUUUAAAUUUCUGUAGAUACUUUCUAAAACUUUAUAUCUUCAUCACUUUCAUAAGAUGAUCCAUCAUAAAGAUGUGGAGGUUUUGUCUUCCGUGAAGUUCAAUAAGACUUGUUUUCUCUCGAGCUGAUUAAAUUGUUGCUUAACACGGCACCUCAGGUGGGUCUAUGAGAUUUUGGAAUUAUAUUUCCAUUUCAUGGUGUUUCUUCUCCGUCUCAUAAGGCUAACUGAUGCAUGCAGCCACGAUGGGUUUCAAUGCUUUUGGUGAAAAUACAUAUGAUCUUCCACUUCUCUUAUUUUUAUUACUCUCUCUGGUAUAACUCAUAAUGGCUAUCAACAUGUUCUCUCUUGGACUUAAAAACUGCUACUUGGCAUGGCAUCCCUCGUGGGUCUUUGAGAUUAUGGGAAAAGUUCCAUUUUUUGGUAUUUCUUCUGUGUCUCAUACGUAAACUGAUGCUUGCAGCCAUGCUGGGUUUCAAAACUUUGAAGCUAAUCGUGUUUUGGCGCCGCAAAGUUUAAUAUUUUUUUGUCACCAAAUCACCCUUUUGGUGAAACAGCACGGCCUUCUACUUUUCUUGUUCUUAUUACUCUUUCUGGUAUAACUCAAAAAAAGCAGUUUAACAUGUUCUCUCUUGAGCUGAAUAACUGUUGCUUGGCAUGGCACCUAGGGUGGGUAUAUGAGAUUUAGGAGGAAGUUCCGUUUGAUGGUGCAUUUUCUGUCUCAUAAGGAUAAUUGAUGCCUGCAGCCAUGACAGUGCAGAAACUAGAACUUGAAGGAGAUUGCAUCAUUCUGCAGAAGCUAUCUGCUCGGAGCUACUACAGCAGUCAUCCCAUCAAUGUGAUCAAUCUUCCACCCCAAGUUGUGGUGACAGUGUAUUGUCUGAUGUAUAGUAAUGUUAACAAAUUUCUGGGGAGUGUUAGGUUUCUUUCUGACAUUAUCUCAAACAAAUAUGUUAGUAAUUCACAUGACCUGAUGUGUUCUCUCUCAGUUAAUUAGCUUCAUUUCUUUCACCCACUUUUCAAGAUUCUCUUGGACUGCAUUCUUAUUAAUCAUGAAAGCAUUAGAGAUUACGAUGUCUAAGUCUCCUAGGCCACAGUCUCUUUCAUAUUCCAUCUCGCUUAUGUUCAGAUCUUGUAAUAGAACUCUCAUGCAUGACAUUUUUUAUUCAAAUUUUCAGAAUUUGCACCUAGAAAAACUCAUGGUUUCUUAGAAUCUGGGACAAAAUGGAUGGACUUCCAUCCAGAGAUUACAGUUGAGUACUUUAACUAUAUCUCAGAUGUUUUUGCGUCUUCUCUAUUCUGCUAAAAUGAUGGAUUGUUACCUUUUCCAAUAUGAGAUGCAGAACGGUACUUGAACGGAGAGUCUUAAGAAUCAGGAUACCAUUGAUAAAACCUGCCUAGUGGGUGCAAAAGUUCUCCAACUGGUGGAUAAGAGAAUAUUAGGGAUUGUGGGCGGCACAAGUCUUGGUAUAAUUGAUCAAGGCCUAUUCUGGCCUUUGUAUAGUCCAUUAUGUCUGUUCUGUGUUUCUCAAUUUUUUUUAAUUAUGCAUUUACUUUAAAAGAUUGUUUCUCUUAGAGAUUUUUUGGUUGAACUCAUUAGAAAAUAUAAAUCUUAGCAUAAACUUCCUCAUAAAUAGUAUAAUAUUUGUUGGUCGUGUAAGUAAAAGUAAUAACUGCAUAACUAUGCAUCACUCUGUUAUCCACAUAGGAAAAUAAGCUCGACAUAACUUAUGCGACGUUUGGUUGGCAGUAUUUAACUGUUCAUUAUUAAUAUCCUUAUGACUUAUGCUGGAAUCUAUGUAUUAGCUUAUGAUGGAUAGAAUAUGGAAAAUAAUUGGACUCCUAGACUCCCCCCCCCCUCCCUCCACACACACACACACAAAUAAGAAAACAUGUGUUAACAAUGCACACGUGUGUAUUUACAAGCAAAAACUCCCUUUAUAGUAUAUAAUUCAUGCAUAGCAUAACUCAUUUAUUAUUCACCGCGUUAGGAUCCCUACAUUAUAAUUUACUGCAUAACAGUUUUUACAUUAUUAUAACUGGAUAAACAUUCCCAGCAUGACUAAUACUUAACCAAAUAAUGUCUUGCGAAGACGGUUGUUUUCUUGAUAAUACAGGUUCCAUGUGUUUUUGGGCGUUAGUCUAACUGAUGUAGAAUUUCUUCUAACAGAUCUUUUGGUUCUUGGAUUGCACAUGAUUUUCCACUUUUCUUAUUGUUAUUACUCUCUCAGGUAUAACUCAAAAUGAUAAUCAAGCAUGUUCUCUUUUGAGCUGAAAAACUAUUGCUUGGCAUGGCAUCUCACGUGGGUCUGUGAGAUUUUAAAGAAAGUUCUAUUCAUGGUGUUUAUUCUCUGUCUCAUAAGGCUAAAUGAUACAUGCAGCCAUGACAGGUUCCUAAUCUUUUGAGCUGAUUCGUUUUUUGACUGGGCAGAGUUCAGUUUCUUUGCCGCCCCUCACCGAACCACCCUUUCGUGAUAUUAUGUAUGCACUACUUCUUUUCUUAUUCUUAUUGCUCACUCUGCUCUGAUUUAUACACAAUGAAGAUUUGGAGGUUUUCAUCCUUCGAUGUCGAGGUAAAGAACUCAAACAACGGCACUUCAGGUGGGUCUAUGAGAUUUUGGGAAAAGUUCCAUUUUUUGGUCUUUCUUCUGUCUCAUAGGCAAACUGAUGCUGGCACAGCCAUACUGGGUUUCAAAGCUUUUGAGCAAAUGGUGUUUUGGCAUCGCAAAGUUCAAUUUUUUUAUACAUUCAUGAAGUUAAGUACAUGUAAGCCAUUUGCAAAUCAGUCUUACAAGGGAAAGGUAACAUAGACUGUAGUUGUUAAUACAAGAUUAGGAAGUGACAUCAACUAUUAGGAGUACGAAGUGGGAUUAUGGAUUAUUGGGAAUAAAGCUAACAUUGUGUAGUGAAUACAGAAGGGUUUGGAGGGACUGCUCACCUACAUUCCGAACCUUUUACUUCACUUUAAAGCUUGUUCUCUUUAGCAUUCCUGUUCCUCCCUCUGAAGGAUAUAUGCCAGUUCUAAGUGGUAGAAAACCAAAGCAUGACUAACACUUCUUCUCAGUCUAGUUGUUCUAUUCUGAGGUAUCAAUACCACAGUUUAUAUCAGUUCUGUGCUCCUUGUUGAAAGCACAAUAUCUAAAAAGAUUCUUUUUCAUGUGUUUUAUAAGAAAAUGUUUGUUUCUUGAUAAUACAGGUUCCGUGUAUUUUGGGUGUGAGUUUAACAGAUGUGGGCAUGUUAGAAUUUCUUCAACAGGUUAAGUCCAUUGACACCUACUAGCUCUCAUAUUUCACUCCUUCAUUUGAUUAAAGUCUAAUCUUUGUAUUGUGGAAUCUUGCUUAUGUUCUUGCUUAAAUGCCGUGUCAUGUUCUCUGAAUAAACUCCCCUGUUUAACGUUACUGCCUCAAUUAACGCCUUUAUUUUAUUCCUCCUCUCAUUUUUCUUUUGAUUAUGCAUAAACAAGAACUGGAGGAUAUGAACCUGAAGGCUUCAUGCGAAACUCUGAAAGAUUGUGCUUUUAUACGUUUUUUCCCCGUUAAACGUCAUCUUUAGGCGAACUUUUGGUAUUCACUUCUACUAGUUUUCCAUUUGAAUUUCCCCUACAUCAACAACUUAUUCAAAAAUGGAGACAAAUGUUUAGUUGUUUACACUUUAAGCAACUCUAUGAGAUCAUUGCUUCCUGGAAUCUAUUCAUCGCCAAGUUAAGGUAAACUACUUGGGUGGCAUUUGGUUAGAGUUUUAAAAAUUGACUUUUCUAACUUAAGAGUUUGAUUGUUCACGCAAUCCGAAAUGGUGAUUGGUUGUAAUUGAAGUAAUCUUUACAAAAAUGUAUGUAUAAAUAUAAAACGGAUAAACAAGGUGAUUUUUGAUGAUGUUGUCUGUUUGGUUUAAAUUCAAGAGUUUUUGGAAGUUUGCGAGCUUAGAUAUGGAGAAAUCUGCAGCAUUCUCUAACAUGGAAUGGAAGGAGCGAAAACCAUAAUGGAUAAGGUGCUGUAGAGAUUCCAUAUAUUGGUGCUUUUAUAUUGCAAUCACAAACACAUUGUUUGUAUAACUUAACUUUCUAUGUUGGGAAUAAUUUCUUGAAAAUUUAAAUAAAAUGUCUAUUUAUCCCCUCCCCUUUCCUGCAGUAAAGAUUUAUAAUUUCACAGGUUGUGGGGGUUUGAUUUUCUUGAUUGCCUUCAAAUGCAUGUUUUUAAUAUUUCAUAGAGGCUUUUUUGGAUCUUCAAUGAUGAACAGUUGUUAUGUUAUACAGCCCCAUAAUUUCUAUUAUUUCUAGUACUCUCAUUUAUUUAUUGCAUGAACGUUUGGUAUUGAUUUGAUUUUAUCGCAAAGAAUCUUAUAUAGAGAUAUUCUUGGUUGGUCAAUAUAUAAACUUUAUAAUUUUUUCAAUUAUCCGAUCUAGGGACAUGUCUUAGUAUUCAUGAAAGACAUUUAUAGUUUUUUUUUUUUGGUGGAUCGAUGAAGGGAAAUAUAGUAUACGGAGUACUAUAUAUAUCUCUCCGUCCAAACCUGUAUAUUAAAAAUAGUUGUCCAUCAAUACUAGUUCAAUUUUUUUUAAAAAUAUAUAGAUAUAAUUUACUUUUUGUGUUUAUUUUACCCUUCUAAUUAAAUACUAUUUAUCAUCCAACACAUUUUAAAAUAUUAAAUUUAAUAAAAUCAAUGGAUAUAUCGAUAUUAUCUCUAUUAUUUAUUGUUUUAUUAUUUUUUAAGGAGUGCAACAAGUCAUUCGUGGACAACUAUUGUAAGACAAGAAAUAAUUUAUAAUUUUAUAUGAAAGGAUUAAAUUUUGAUCGUAAAUUUUAUAUUUUAAAUUAACCAAUCAAAAUUGUACAAGUUAAAUAUCAAAGUAAUAGUUUUUUUUUAAAAAUCAUGUAGACUCUUUUAUUAAUUUCUUUUUAUUAUCAAGGGAGACUGGAGUAGGGCUUAUUUUUUUAUUAAAAUAAAUAAAUAAAUAAAUUAUUAAUUAGAGUAGUUUUCAUGUUUUUUUCCGCGUCCUUUUAUUUUCUCAAAGCGCGUCUUAGAAAGCUUUAAAUAGACGCUACAGACGCAAUUUAGAACUGAAGAACGCUACACACGCCGGCGCAGAGUAUGCCACCGGUAUGCUACCGGUGACGAAUCAAAAUCAUAAACCCUAAAAUGAUUUUCUUGCAUCUAUAGCUUCUUCCAUCCAUUAACUGUUAUGUUACAUCCAUUAACUGUUAUGUUACAAUGGGGAGGCUGCUGUUUUAUUUCCAGACGGAUUUGGUGAUAGACGUGUGGAGGGUAAAUGCUUGCUGCCAAAUAUGCCCUGAAAACAGGAUUCCUUACCUGGGCAUAUGUCUAGGCAUGCAAAUUGCUGGGAUCGGGUAUGCUAGAUUCAUUCUUGGGUUGCAAGAUGCGAACAGUACAGAGUUUGAUACCAACACCCACAGUCCUUGUGUAAUUUUUAUGCCGGAAAUUAAGUUCUGAUACUUUCCCUUCAUCACGAAUUUCCCUCAUGAUCUUCAUGUAUUUUAGGUCUCAUUUUAGCAGCGGCUAUAUUAAUCUGUAGACCAGGUUCACAGGGUUCAAAAGCGCAUAUGGGUGGUAGCAUGUGUCUUGGAUCAAGAAGAACAUAUUUUUUUUAAUGAAGUAAGGUGAUUUCAUUAGAAGGCAUCAAGAAGAUGCAAGGUAAAAUAUUACAGCAAAAAGAAGGGGUCUGCUUCUGUGCAAGAAUUUACUCAAUAACUAAAGAACAGAUAAAACCAAGAAAAGAUCAACAGUGGUCACAUGGCCCGGUUGAAUCAACUAUAUAAGUAGACUAAACAGUUGGAUUUAAGAAUGUGGUUAGGAAUUGAAAUCCCAUCAAAACAUCUACAAUUCCUUUCAUCCCAGAUACACUAAAAGAUAGCAGCAGGCACCAUGUGCCAUGUUUUUUUGAUGGGUUUCCCAACUCUCCACUAACACCAGCUCUCAUAGGCUUCUUUGAUACUAUUUGGCAUGACCCAGGUAAUUCCAAAAACUGAUAAGAACAUACUCCAUAUGACUGCUGCUAAUUACAGUGCAAAAAUAGAUGCCUUCCAAAAACUGAUAAGAACGUAUUUCCAAGUCAAAGGUUCUAAAUCCGCAAAACUCUAAGUACUUCCUUUCCUCUAACCUCACUGCAUUGACUGUAUCUUGAUCUGAAGCCAUUUUGGAGAACUUCUCCUAUUGAACUUGCCCAGUGGCAGAACUAUAUCUUUUCUCAGAUUUGGCAGCCGGAGCUUUGUAGUUGAAUCCUGAUAUGAUGCAGCAAUUUGAAGAUGCUGGCCUUAUGAAAAUGGUUGCGGCAUGGAGCAAGAGCAGCCAGAGGGACUACUAUAGUGAGUCUAGCGUCUACUAGAGUAGAGUUAAGUGAAAAGGUAUAGCAGCCUUUCCGAGCGAGCCUCUGGGAUCUCCUGCUCUAGGUAUUUGAUGACAAUGUAUCAUCUGACUUUGCACUUUCUUCUGAAGGAUCAUCUGAAGUUGUACUUUCUUUUGAAGGAUCUGCAGUUUCACGAGAUGGACUGGUGGUUAUGGGAAAAGGAAAUGGUGGUCUGUUUUUGGCAAAAUGUUGAUCUGACAUCAUCUUUUCUAUUUUACUGAUACUGCUGUUCAUAAUUUCCUUUGCCCGACAACUAUGAUGUUUGAAUGAUUGUUCAUUGUUGUAGUCCUAUAGGAUAGCAUACAUUACUCAACAGUUUCACCAUAUCUUGAUAACACUUUCUUGGAAGGCAUUAAAAGAUAGCAAUAUGUGGAAGUGUUGUAGUUAGUGUUGUUAGCAGCAGAAUUAGGUAUGGGUUGUACUGACUUUUUCCAAAUCCCAAUCAUUGCUUGAAGAAGCCUUAACAGGCAAUGAACCUGAGGCCAGUGUAGGCUUUUGUUUCUCCUUGAUCUCUUCUUGUUGCCUUUUGCUCUCUGUUGUGGUCUGUAUGUUCUUGCCUUUGUAAGUAUUAAGUAGUGCUCUUCUA